rnacentral:rRNA from 1 species
AUCGCCGUGAAGAUGCGGUGUACCCGCGGCUAGACGGAAAGACCCCGUGAACCUUUACUAUAGCUUGACACUGAACAUUGAAUUUUGAUGUGUAGGAUAGGUGGGAGCCUUUGAAGCAGUGACGCCAGUCAUUGUGGAGGCGACCUUGAAAUACCACCCUUUAACGUUUGAUGUUCUAACGAAGUGCCUGAAACGGGUACUCGGACAGUGUCUGGUGGGUAGUUUGACUGGGGCGGUCUCCUCCCAAAGCGUAACGGAGGAGCACGAAGGUUUGCUAAUGACGGUCGGACAUCGUCAGGUUAGUGCAAUGGUAUAAGCAAGCUUAACUGCGAGACAGACAAGUCGAGCAGGUGCGAAAGCAGGUCAUAGUGAUCCGGUGGUUCUGAAUGGAAGGGCCAUCGCUCAACGGAUAAAAGGUACUCCGGGGAUAACAGGCUGAUACCGCCCAAGAGUUCAUAUCGACGGCGGUGUUUGGCACCUCGAUGUCGGCUCAUCACAUCCUGGGGCUGAAGUAGGUCCCAAGGGUAUGGCUGUUCGCCAUUUAAAGUGGUACGCGAGCUGGGUUUAGAACGUCGUGAGACAGUUCGGUCCCUAUCUGCCGUGGGCGUUGGAUGAUUGAUUGGGGCUGCUCCUAGUACGAGAGGACCGGAGUGGACGCAUCACUGGUGUUCCAGUUGUCUCGCCAGAGGCAUUGCUGGGUAGCUAAAUGCGGAAGAGAUAAGUGCUGAAAGCAUCUAAGCACGAAACUUGCCAAGAGAUGAGUCAUCCCUGACUUUAAGUCAGUAAGGGUUGUUGUAGACUACGACGUAGAUAGGUUGGGUGUGUAAGUGUAGUGAUACAUUGAGCUAACCAAUACUAAUUGCCCGAGAGGCUUAACUAU